CUUGGUCAUUUAGAGGAAGUAAAAGUCGUAACAAGGUUUCCGUAGGUGAACCUGCGGAAGGAUCAUUAGUAUAUGACCAACGUCAGUUGGCAACCCUUUUUUUUAAACUCCUGUUUUCUCUGAAAUCAGUCUGAACAUGUUUAUUAUUAAACGUUAAAACUUUCAACAACGGAUCUCUUGGUUCUCCCAUCGAUGAAGAACGCAGCGAAAUGCGAUAAGUAGUGUGAAUUGCAGAAUUCAGUGAAUCGUCGAAUCUUUGAACGCACAUUGCGCCCUCUGGUAUUCCGGGGGGCAUGCCUGUUCGAGCGUCAUUAAAACUACUCAAGCUAAGGUUUUACCUUCUGCUUGGUCUUGGGUUUGAGGAUUCAAAACCCUCUCUCCGAAAUCCAGUGGCGAAUUGUUUGAGCUGUAGACGUAGUAAAACUUUCUACCCGUUGCAAGCGAGAAUAUAUUCAGCCAUAACCCCCAUACUUUUCUAGUUUGACCUCGGAUCAGGUAGGGAUACCCGCUGAACUUAAGCAUAUCAAUAAGCGGAGGA
rnacentral:rRNA from 1 species